GACGAACGCUGGCGGCGUGCCUAACACAUGCAGGUCGAACGGAACUGUUUUGAAAGAUUUCUUCGGAAUGAAUUUGAUUUAGUUUAGUGGCGGACGGGUGAGUAACGCGUGAGUAACCUGCCUUCAAGAGGGGAAUAACAUUCUGAAAAGAAUGCUAAUACCGCAUGACAUAUCGGAACCACAUGGUUUUGAUAUCAAAGAUUUUAUCGCUUGAAGAUGGACUCGCGUCCGAUUAGUUAGUUGGUGAGGUAACGGCUCACCAAGACCGCGAUCGGUAGCCGGACUGAGAGGUUGAACGGCCACAUUGGGACUGAGACACGGCCCAGACUCCUACGGGAGGCAGCAGUGGGGGAUAUUGCGCAAUGGGGGCAACCCUGACGCAGCAACGCCGCGUGAAGGAUGAAGGUUUUCGGAUUGUAAACUUCUUUUAUUAAGGACGAAAAAUGACGGUACUUAAUGAAUAAGCGCCGGCUAACUACGUG
rnacentral:rRNA from 1 species